rnacentral:piRNA from 1 species
UAGCAGGAACGAGUCAGCAGGAACUGGU